CCUCAAAUCUCUCUCUCUUCUCAACAGCGUAAAUUCCACAAGAUCUUCGAUUGACUUUCGAACAAAAUUAAUGGAGAGGUUCUACAAUGUAAUCGAUUUUUCGCUUUUCUUCCAUUAGGCAUGCACUCAUAUUAUCAAAACCUAGGGUUCUGUGUAAUUUGAUUUGUUUAUGUUCAUCAAUGGUUGGUUAUUCACUGAUAACACCAAUAUUCAACCUUCGAACAAUUCAUGCUGGAGAUCAACAUUUCAAUCAACUGUUUUUCUUUUCUUCCAUUAGGGUGAACCCAGAGCACCAGAUACGGAUACAUCCCAGAGUUGUUUUGGGGAUCGAAGAAAUAGGAUGAUUGAAGAGCAAUAUGCUACUGAAACCGGACAGACAACGUCAAGAAAACUUUAUGUAUUAUGAUGUCUACUAAGUUUGAAGAAGAAUCUAAACAAGUUUCUUAAGGAGUUGUUAGAAAUGCUGCUGAAGAAUUCGCUGCUUAGGUUUUUGGUCAUUUUCUGACAAUGAUUGACAAAGCUAAGGUCGAACGGUUUCAUUUUUAUCCGCUUCCUUCAUGGCAUAUGUGUUCAUCCAUAAAGCACAGCUUAUGUAAAUAUGUAAUCCCUUGGUUAUACUAGCUUCAUAACAUCUUGAAAAAAAAUAAUCUGAAAAUAUAUAUCGUUUGAAUUUUGGUUUUCUAUGAGAGAAUCCUCUGAGCCCAUGCAUUUUUGAUAGUGGAUUGUAGGGACACAUAAUAUUGGGUAUUUAGUCCUUUGGUUUUUUGUUACUGCCGCCGCAACAUAAAAAUUAUUAAUUUUCUAUUGUCAAACUAAAGAAUUGUGAUAUUGGUCGGUAUGUGGAAAGUUUUUAUUGCUUCUCAAAGGAGAGAUGAGGUUCAUCUCAAGAUGAAAGCUACAAGUGUUAUCCAUUUGAUUGGAAAACAGGGGGAUGCACCCUUUUUUGUUCUUCAAAUUCCCUCAUAUACCGGCAUCGAUGCUUCAGGUUAGCUGAUAGAGGAAUCUCAAAAUUGACGACAAAGUUGGUGUUGAGCUAUAGUGUAAACUAUGAGAAAAUUAUGAGAAUAGCAAUUGACAGAAAUAACUACUGAUGUUUCCAUAUUUCACUUUUAUCUUACAAAGUUAACUGAACAAUGAGAUACCAAUAUUUAGAUCUUUUGGUUGGAUAUCUCAUCUCUUCACUAAAAUGGAUGAGUAAUAAGAAUGAAUCUUUUCUGUGA